rnacentral:rRNA from 1 species
GAUGAACGCUGGCGGCGUGCCUAAUACAUGCAAGUCGAGCGAACAGACGAGGAGCUUGCUCCUCUCACGUUAGCGGCGGACGGGUGUGUAACACGUGGAUAACCUACCUAUCAGUCUGGGAUAACUUCGGGAAACCGGAGCUAAUACCGGAUAAUAUAUUGAACCGCAUGGUUCAAUAGUGAAAGACGGUUUUGCUGUCACUUAUAGAUGGAUCCGCGCCGCAUUAGCUAGUUGGUAAGGUAACGGGUUACCAAGGCAACGAUGCGUAGCCGACCUGACAGGGGGAUCGGCGACACUGGAACUGAGACACGGUCCAGACGCCUACGAGAGGCAGCAGUAGGGAAUGGUACGCAAUGGGCGAAAGCCUGACGGAGCAACGCCGCGCGAGUGAUGAAGGUCUUCGGAUCGUAAAACUCUGUUAUGAGGUAAGAACAAAUGUGGAAGGAACUAUGCACGUCGUGACGGUACUUAAUAAGAAAGCAACGGCUAACUACGUG